AGAGUUUGAUCCUGGCUCAGAAUCAACGCUGGCGGCGUGCCUAACACAUGCAAGUCGCAUGAGAAAGGGGAGCAAUCCCUGAGUACAGUGGCGCACGGGUGAGUAACACGUGACUAACCUACCCUCGAGUGGGGAAUAACCUAGGGAAACCUGGGCUAAUACCGCAUAACACUUACGAGUCAAAGCAGCAAUGCGCUUGGGAGGGGUCGCGGCCGAUUAGCUAGUUGGCGGGGUAAUGGCCACCAAGGCAAUGACCGGUAUCCGGCCUGAGAGGGCGCACGGACACACUGGAACUGAAACACGGUCCAGACUCCUACGGGAGGCGAC
rnacentral:rRNA from 1 species